AUGGCUGGCAGUCAGGACAUAUUCGAUGCCAUCGUGAUGGCGGAUGAGAGAUCGGGUGCUACCAAGGUUUUGCUUUUGCAUGGAAAUGUCUACUGCACAGUUGCACCACUGAGAAGGACAGCAGAAAGAUGAAGGUCUUAGAAUCAUUGAUUGGAAUGAUCCAGAAAUUCCCUUAUGAUGACCCUACUUACGAUAAACUCCAUGAAGACUUAGACAAGAUCAGAGGAAAAUUUAAACAGUUUUGUUCGUUACUCAAUGUUCAGCCAGACUUUAAAAUUAGUGCAGAAGGUUCCGGACUUUCAUUUUGA
rnacentral:sRNA from 1 species